rnacentral:rRNA from 1 species
UGGGGAAUUUUGGACAAUGGGCGAAAGCCUGAUCCAGCAAUGCCGCGUGUGUGAAGAAGGCCUUCGGGUUGUAAAGCACUUUUGUCCGGAAAGAAAUCCUUGGCUCUAAUACAGUCGGGGGAUGACGGUACCGGAAGAAUAAGCACCGGCUAACUACGUGCCAGCAGCCGCGGUAAUACGUAGGGUGCAAGCGUUAAUCGGAAUUACUGGGCGUAAAGCGUGCGCAGGCGGUUUGCUAAGACCGAUGUGAAAUCCCCGGGCUCAACCUGGGAACUGCAUUGGUGACUGGCAGGCUAGAGUAUGGCAGAGGGGGGUAGAAUUCCACGUGUAGCAGUGAAAUGCGUAGAGAUGUGGAGGAAUACCGAUGGCGAAGGCAGCCCCCUGGGCCAAUACUGACGCUCAUGCACGAAAGCGUGGGGGAGCAAAACAGGAUUAGAUACCCUGGUAGUCCACGCCCUAAACGAUGUCAACUAGUUGUUGGGGAUUCAUUUCCUUAGUAACGUAGCUAACGCGUGAAGUUGACCGCCUGGGGAGUACGGUCGCAAGAUUAAAACUUAAAGGAAUUGACGGGGUCAUAGCU